UUCAUCAUGGCCUAUCACUCCGCAGGCAUAACAGAAGAUUGGGAGCCUUUCAUACCUAAACUUGACCCACGUUGAGUCAUCUCUCUUGCUUCCCAUCGUGAUUCCUCUUCUAAGCGGUUCCGUUAUCUCCAUAUCUACUGUUGCUUUCAGGAAGCUUUCUUUCCCUGGCCCAGCUGAGAAAAGACUACAUUCCUUAAAUUUUCCAUCUUUAGCUGCUAUUUUCUUCCUCAAAACUAUCGUUUUGCAAUGCUCUGGCAUGUUCCAAAGUUGUAGCUUGACUUCUGCUCUUGUGAAUUUCUAAAAAUCCAUGGGUUUCCUUUCAGCAUCUUCUUCAUGUCUGCCUCUUUAUGGAAGAAAAAUUGGAUAUGAAAACUUGGCGAUAGUGAGGCACUAUUUGUUGUAGGAAAACGGACAGCUCACUACUCCGUUUUAGUGUUCGGGAACCCUAGCAGACUAACAAGGAGAGAGGAUUUAGGUGUAUGAUGUACAUCAAUCUUCCGAAUGUCAUGUAACUUAAAUGGAGGUUAGUAUAUCUUUUUGUAAAAUGAAGGUAUAUCGUGUAUUAAAAUACCGUUUAAUCCUAGGAGGUCAGUAUAAUUUACUUAAGAAAAUAUUCAAUUCAAUGUAAAUUUUAAAUUCAAACUACUUCAAGGGUAAAACUUCUUUAGAAAAAUAAAAUAAAAUGUAAAUCACCACGAACAAGGUGAGGGGCUUAAAUCUUAAAAUGAAUUAAUAUCAGUAAUAAGUACAAGGCAAAAUUCUAUUAUGACUGUUGAUUAACGUAACAAAUAACUAGAACAUAAUUAUGCUUCUACACUUCUACAGAUUCUGACACUAUCAGACUAAUCAAAGUUACAUGGACGAUGCACCCUAAGUCAAGAAUAACACAAAUGGUAGAU